rnacentral:rRNA from 1 species
GUGCAGCAGGCGCGAAACUUCCGCAAUGCGGGAAACCGUGACGGAGUCACCCCGAGUGCCACCCGAAGAGGGUGGCUUUUGCCCGGUCUAAAAAGCCGGGCGAAUAAGCGGGGGGCAAGCUUGGUGUCAGCCGCCGCGGUAAUACCAACCCCGCGAGUGGUCGGGACGUUUAUUGGGCCUAAAGCGUCCGUAGCCGGCCCGGUAAGUCCCUCCUUAAAGCCCACGGCUCAACCGUGGGAGCGGAGGGAUACUGCCGGGCUAGGGGGCGGGAGAGGCCGGGGGUACUCCUGGGGUAGGGGCGAAAUCCUAUAAUCCCAGGAGGACCACCAGUGGCGAAGGCGCCCGGCUAGCACGCGCCCGACGGUGAGGGACGAAAGCUGGGGGAGCAAAGGGGAUUAGAUACCCCCGUAGUCCCAGCUGUAAACGAUGCGGGCUAGGUGUUGGACGGGCUUCGAGCCCGUCCAGUGCCGUAGGGAAGCCGUUAAGCCCGCCGCCUGGGGAGUACGGCCGCAAGGCUGAAACUUAAAGGAAUUGGCGGGGGAGCAC